AGCGUAUAUUAAAGUUGUUGCAGUUAAAAAGCUCGUAGUUGAAUUUCGGGGUCAGUAGGUCGGUCGUGCCACUGGUAUGAACUGGUUUUACUGAUUCCUCCCUCUUGAAGAACUGUAAUGCCAUUAAUUUGGUGUUGCAGGGAAUCANGACUGUUACUUUGAAAAAAUUAGAGUGUUUAAAGCAGGCUUUAGCUUGAAUACAUUANCAUGGAAUAAUGAAAUGGGACGUUUGAUCCUAUUUUGUUGGUUUCUAGGAUUGACGUAAUGAUUAAUAGGGAUAGUUGGGGGCAUUAGUAUUCAAUUGUCANAGGUGAAAUUCUUGGAUUUAUUGAAGACUAACUACUGCGAAAGCAUUUGCCAAGGAUGUUUUCAUUAAUCAAGAACGAAAGUUAGGGGAUCGAA
rnacentral:rRNA from 1 species